UGCCAUUUGCCAAUCGCCAUUUCUGUUUUUCUUUCUUUCAAAGUUGACAGCACGAGAGGACCCAUCUUUCUGUAUCUGAAAAUAUUUUAACAAUCGCAAGGGCCUCGAUUCUUUAGAAAUUACAAGUCUUAAGGCUUAAAGUUAUCAAAUAUGAGAGCUAAGUGGCGUAAGAAGCGCAUGCGAAGGCUAAAGCGUAAACGUAGGAAGAUGCGUGCGAGGUCUAAAUAAAAGGUACAUUCGUGAGGAGAGAAGAAUAAUAACAUUAUCUUUUACAACUUAACUUGUGUAUCAAAUAAAAAAUUUAAAACUCAA